rnacentral:rRNA from 1 species
UACAUGGGGUGCAAACGUUGCUCGGAAUUAUUGGCGUAAGAGCUCGUAGGCGGCUUGUCGCGUCGACUGUGAAAACCCGAGGCUCAACUUCGGGCUUGCAGUCGAUACGGGCAGGCUAGAGUUCGGUAGGGGAGACUGGAAUUCCUGGUGUAGCGGUGAAAUGCGCAGAUAUCAGGAGGAACACCGAUGGCGAAGGCAGGUCUCUGGGCCGAUACUGACGCUGAGGAGCGAAAGCGUGGGGAGCGAACAGG